UGUCCAAAAUUAGGGAAUUCGUGCGUCC
rnacentral:sRNA from 1 species